rnacentral:rRNA from 1 species
UUCUCUACGGGAGGCAGCAGUAGGGAAUCUUCCGCAAUGGACGAAAGUCUGACGGAGCGACGCCGCGUGAGCGAAGAAGGUCUUCGGAUCGUAAAGCUCUGUUGUUAGGGAAGAAGAAGUACCGUUCGAAUAGGGCGGUACGGUGACGGUACCUAACGAGAAAGCCCCGGCUAACUACGUGCCAGCAGCCGCGGUAAUAGCC